ensembl:lncRNA
GAGAUGUAGAAGACAGAAAGAGGUAAACCAGAGGAAGAAAGAGGAGGUGGGGAGAGAGAUGUAGAAGACAGAAAGAGGUAAAACAGAGGAAGAAAGAGGAGGUGGGGAGAGAGGUGUAGAAGACAGAAAGAGGUAAAAUAGAGGAAUAAGAGGAGGUGGGGAGAGAGAUGUAGAAGACAGAAAGGGAAAGAGGUGGGGAGAGAGAUGUAGAAGACAGAAAGAGGUAAAACAGAGGAAUAAAGAGGAGGUGGGGAGAGAGAUGUAGAAGACAGAAAGAGGUAAAACAGAGGAAGAAAGAGGAGGUGAGGAGAGAGGUCUAGAAGACAGAAAGAGGUCAAACAGAGGAAGAAAGAGGAGGUGGGGAGAGAGGUGUAGAAGACAGUAAGAUGUAAAACAGAGGAAUAAAGA